UACGUAGGGUGCAAGCGUUAAUCGGAAUUACUGGGCGUAAAGCGUGCGCAGGCGGUUCGGAAAGAAAGAUGUGAAAUCCCAGGGCUUAACCUUGGAACUGCAUUUUUUAACUACCGGGCUAGAGUGUGUCAGAGGGGGGUGGAAUUCCACGUGUAGCAGUGAAAUGCGUAGAUAUGUGGAGGAACACCGAUGGCGAAGGCAGCCCCCUGGGAUAACACUGACGCUCAUGCACGAAAGCGUGGGGAGCAAACAGG
rnacentral:rRNA from 1 species